rnacentral:misc_RNA from 1 species
CAGAAAAGUAAAAACAGAUUUCAUGAUGACGAUCGUUGAAAAUACUCCGUCUCAACCUUCAAAUUUCAAGAUGAUUAGACCACGGAAGAUAAAAAAUAUAAGUCCAUUGAGUGUGUUGAAGAGUGUUGGACCGAAGCUGGUGCCAUUCUUCAAGACAGUGGCUAUAUUUUUCGUGCUCUUCCCGACUUCUGACACGUCAACACUGUUCUGUUGUGUCAUUAAGAUUCUCCCAAUUCUGUCGCUGAUUGUAUUUGUGUUGCUACACGGCAUGAACCUGGAUGAGGUCUAUGUGUAUUCACGACGCGUGUUACUUGGACUCAUUUUUUCAAUGAUCGGAGAUAUCUGUCUGGUAUGGAAAGCAAAUUAUUUCCUCCAUGGGAUCGCAUCCUUCGCGAUUGCCCAAGCAUUCUACGCUAGAGCUUUUGGGUUGCUGCCUCUGAAACACAUCUCUGGGGCUGUAUGCUUCACCGUUGGAGCAAUCACGUACCUGUAUUUAGUGCCAGGACUUGAAGGCCCGAUGGUGUAUUUCGUUGCUAUGUACACAGCUCUUAUCAUGUUCAUGGCAUGGAGGGCUAUCGCGAGGGUACAGUUCUUCGAAGACGAUUGGACUUGGAAUGACGAUCUUUGGACUUGGACGAAAUUAUGCGGAUGUAUGGGUGCUCUUCUGUUCAUGGUGUCUGACCUCACCAUAGCUAUGGACAGGUUUAGAUUCUCCGUGCCAUUUGCACACACAUUCAUCAUGAUGACAUACUAUGCCGCACAAAUGAUGAUUUCGCUCUCUGUAAUUGACAGUCAAGUUGACAUCGUUCUGGAGAAAAGUAAAAAAUUGUAACUUAACAAGACUUCAACAAACAGUACUCUACAAUACAACUGUUGUGAUUACUAAGUCACCGUUGUUUUGGAUUUCGUAAAAUGACAGUAUUUAAUGAAGAAAUUGAAACUGAAUCAGCGCACAUCAAAGAAAAAGCAGUCAAUCAAUCAGACGAGUGGCGGGGCCACUUGGAUGGUACGGGAAAAGAAGUUGAUACUUCACUUUAUAAUUUAUCAAUGCAAGCCUCUUUUUGAGGAUGACGAAUCGAUGCUUCUAUUUAGUUCUGUAAAUAUUUAUACCUAUAUUCAGCUUUAAUAGCACACAUAUUCCUAAGGAAGCUUUAUGACAGAAAAACAGUUGUUUGGCCAAAUGGUCUCCCAAUGUUAUUGUGUAUUAUGCUAUUGUCAUGGCAAUGUUGAUAAAUAUUAACUCGUUAUCAAUGGACAGUUAGUAGACAAUUAAAAAGUGGUAAUUAUUUUUGAUUACCACAUAAUUACCACUGUCUUAGUCAUGUUUUGAAGACAGGUGGUGAUUUGGCCAAGAAUGAUAAGGUACAAUUAUUUAAAGGUAGAUUGAGAUACCAACUCUUUAAAAACAAUUCUCAAUUUUGGAUUCUUAGAGGCUUAUUUAAAUAACAGACUUUACACCUUGUGUUCAUUUUUCUACAAUGUGGAUAUUACUGUACUGUACAUAGAAUUUUUACAAUGUUCUUUUAUGGAUUCUACCUUUAAAUAAUUAUUCAAUUAUGAGAUGAUGAAAGGAAUUGUUGCACUUCUUUAGAUGUAAUUUACCUCAAGGUGUAUUUGUGUUUCUAUGGUAACCAGCACCUGCGAAGCAUCCAAUUAUCUCUUAGAUUCAUCCUGUUCUAACAUAGCAGCAAAAUACAUAGGAAUAUUUUUUAUACAAUUCAGUAUCACGAAGUCUAGUUAAAUCUAAAUGUUAAAAAAUUAUCAUCUUUUUAAUAACUGAGGAUUCGAAGUAAAACAUUCAAUAUAUGUGAAUUUGUAAUUUAUCAUUUUUGGCAAAAAAGACGGAGGCUAUUUUUUGAAUAUGUCAUGAAUCAUGUUUCAAUUAACACAUAGUUACCAUAGCAUGUUACCAUAGCAACAUCAUUGUUGUAUCAUUUACUAUAAAAUAUUGGCGUAAUUUCACUUCUUCGUGUAUGAAAGCUUAUAUCUUUCUAUGUUAUCAUAUCCACCUAGUGCAUGUACAUUAUUGUUAUUAUAAUAUUGUUAUUAGGUUGUUGUGCCACACAUUGCCAAAUGGUGUUGCCAUUCUGUCAUCAAACGAUGCAGUAUUUAUCUAUCAAUCAUGUUAUUAUAAAUUACCCGUGUGUUUAAUGAGGUUUUACUUAGUUCUAAAGUAAUCUUGUAUUGAGGAUUACAAAUCACUUGUACAGAUUGUUGUAUCGUUCACUGUUAAUAUUUCAUAAUUAU